rnacentral:rRNA from 1 species
AGCGAACGCUGGCGGCAGGCUUAACACAUGCAAGUCGAACGCACCCUUCGGGGUGAGUGGCAGACGGGUGAGUAACACGUGGGAACGUACCCUUCGGUUCGGAACAACUCAGGGAAACUUGAGCUAAUACCGGAUACGCCCUUCGGGGAAGGAUUAUCGCUGAGGGAGUCGGCCCGCCGUCUGAUUAGCUAGUUGGUGAGGUAACGGCUCACCAAGGCGACGAUCAGUAGCUGGUCUGAGAGGAUGAUCAGCCACACUGGGACUGAGACACGGCCCAGACUCCUACGGGAGGCAGCAGUGGGGAAUAUUGGACAAUGGGCGAAAGCCUGAUCCAGCCAUGCCGCGUGAGUGAUGAAGGCCUUAGGGUUGUAAAGCUCUUUCGACGGGGACGAUAAU